rnacentral:rRNA from 1 species
CUUGGUCAUUUAGAGGAAGUAAAAGUCGUAACAAGGUAACCGUAGGUGAACCUGCGGUUGGAUCAUUACUGAUUAACCUCUCUAGGCGUUGAUACCGCAAGGAGUCCGCCUAGAGAACUUACCCCUGUGCACCAUUAUGUUUUUUGGGUCAUGCGGGUCAGGUAGAAUUUCUAUCAAGGCCGGUGGCCCAGUUGUAAAGACCAUAUCAUUUGUCUGAAAUCUCUAUGAAAAUAGAAACAACUUUUGACAACGGAUCUCUUGGCUCUCGCAACGAUGAAGAACGCAGCGAAAUGCGAUACGUAAUGUGAAUUGCUUUCCGUGAAUCAUCAAAUCUUUGAACGCAUAUUGCACUCCUUUUGGAGUAUGCCUAUUUGAGAAUCUACAGUAUUCAUUUCUGCCGUUUUUCGAUCCGGUAGGAGAUAUGAGGUUUCCCUUUUUGAAGGGUGCCUUCAAACAGAUCACUUGCUCAGGACAUCAGAUGUUUGAAGUUCUUUAAAACCCUGCAGAAACGUAUGUGACUGAAACUUUGUUUCUCAUAAUGCAGACUAUGCAGAGCAAAGGACCGAGUCUUUUGUCCCGAUCGAGUUCAAAACCAUAAAGACUUUGUCUUGAACAAUGGUCUCAAAUUAGGUAGGAAGACCCGCUGAACUUAAGCAUAUCAAUAAGCGGAGGA